GCAAAAGGCCAUCCAGCCUUAAAGCCCUGAGAUUAGAGGCAAUAUUUACUAAAGGCCGGUAGAUGCUCCUUUAACUUGAUGGCCGGGACGUGCUUCAAAGUCCCGAGUCCUGAAGUCCACAGGUUCCCCCACUCUCCCGCUCCUCACUUCACAGUUGGUUACCUCGCAGAAACCAUGUGAGUCACCGUGCUGAGACAUAAUACUACAGGUUCCCAAUAAAUACGGACAGAGGCCUGAAUGCGGAUCCACUGAUAUUGACCUCCACUUGGCAAACAUCAGAGAAAGAAUCUCCUGCCAGACGCCCAGGAGCAGCAAUAAUAGGUAGUGGGUAUCUCAUUUCCAACUUCUUGCUUAUUGACCUGAUUUCUCACAACGAACAGGGGAGGAGGCUUCUACACAGGUUGGUAAAAGGUAAAAAACACCGAUAAAACAAACUGACAUUGGACAAAGCUUUUUAUUAUUAUGGAGAGAAUCUCUCAGUCUUUGCAGAGGGAUCAAACAUUUUCUGCCCUGUCCGGCUCUUCGAGCCUAUGUCAACACCACGGACUUUUCUUGGGUUUCUUUAUCCUAUCCCUUGUGAGUUCGUUCCCAUAUAGCUAUUAGAACUUUUAUCACCUCAUAGCAGAAAACAAAAACCAAAAAGUCGAAAACAAAAACCAAAAAGUCAAAACCAAAAAAAAUCUACAUCACCAACCAGCAACUAACAGCCCUUCCCCCUUCCAAACCCAAACAACUGUUCGAACAGUGGGAUUUUGAAGGAGAAAAAAAGCUUCUUGGGAUUUUGAAAAAGGCUUGCACAUUAUACCACACAAACUGUAAUACACAUAUGAGUCUUAAUUUCAGCUUGAUGUGUUUAUCGUUCAGCAGCUGCUUCCACAGUAACUUGUUCUCGAGUGAUCUGUGGAAAUGUCACCCUUACAAACAGGAUUUUAAAGUUUCUUAUAGAGACAUAGGAUUCAAAUGACGAGAUGUAGCAUCUCUCUGCCUCUACAAAUAUGUUUUAACUUGUUCUCUAAAUGCAUUUUCUAUUACCCCUUUCUUUGUUCUUCUCUCUCUCUUUUUUAUUUAUUUAUUUUUUUAAAAUUUUUAAUUCUGGCAGCAGAAUUGAGUCAAAUCUUCGAAACAGACAAAACUCUGGAAUCAGCAGAGAAGAACAACAUAUGAAAAUAUGUCUUGAAGGAAAUAAAAUAUGUAAAAGCACUGUCUAGACCCCUGGUUUCUCAAAUGGUCAAACUACACCCAUGGAAACUGGGACAAACCCCAGUGCAAUAUCUAAGAAAUAUUAAAAUUGCGGUCCUCAUGUA